rnacentral:rRNA from 1 species
CUUACGGGCGGCUGCAGUAAGGAAUAUUGGUCAAUGGUGGCAACACUGAACCAGCCAUGCCGCGUGAAGGAUGAAGGCGCUCUGCGUUGUAAACUUCUUUUAAGUGGGAAGAAAAACUCAUAUUCAUAUGAGCCUGACGGUACCACUGGAAUAAGCACCGGCUAACUCCGUGCCAGCAGCCGCGGUAAUACGGAGGGUGCAAGCGUUAUCGGGAUUCACUGGGACGUAGGGGGUCUGUUAAGGCAGUUGUGAAAGUUUGUCGCUUAACGAUAAAAUUGCGAUUGAUACUGGCGGACUAGAAUGUAGUAGAGGCUGGCGGAAUGAGACAAGUAGCGGUGAAAUGCUUAGAUAUGUCUCAGAACACCGAUUGCGAAGGCAGCUGGCUAUGCUAUUAUUGACGCUGAGGUACGAAAGUGUGGGUAGCAAACAGGAUUAGAUACCCGUGUAGUC